rnacentral:antisense_RNA from 1 species
CUUCAACGACCCCAGCCACAACGGCCGUUCAUCAGUAUGGUCCUGACCAUAAGUGUUCAGCAGCGCCUGCGCCUC